GAUGAACGCUGGCGGCGUGCCUAAUACAUGCAAGUCGAGCGAACGGACGAGAAGCUUGCUUCUCUGAUGUUAGCGGCGGACGGGUGAGUAACACGUGGAUAACCUACCUAUAAGACUGGGAUAACUUCGGGAAACCGGAGCUAAUACCGGAUAAUAUUUUGAACCGCAUGGCUCAAAAGUGAAAGACGGUCUUGCUGUCACUUAUAGAUGGAUCCGCGCUGCAUUAGCUAGUUGGUAAGGUAACGGCUUACCAAGGCAGCGAUGCAUAGCCGACCUGAGAGGGUGAUCGGCCACACUGGAACUGAGACACGGUCCAGACUCCUACGGGAGGCAGCAGUAGGGAAUCUUCCGCAAUGGGCGAAAGCCUGACGGAGCAACGCCGCGUGAGUGAUGAAGGUCUUCGGAUCGUAAAACUCUGUUAUUAGGGAAGAACAUAUGUGUAAGUAACUGUGCACAUCUUGACGGUACCUAAUCAGAAAGCCACGGCUAACUACGUG
rnacentral:rRNA from 1 species